rnacentral:rRNA from 1 species
AAAACGAUUCUGAUUAUUUAUUGAUAAAUAGUCGGGAGUCGAACAAUUCAUUUUUACAAUGGAGAGUUUGAUCCUGGCUCAGGAUGAACGCUAGCGGCAGGCCUAAUACAUGCAAGUCGAACGGGAUUGCGGUGUAGCUUGCUACACUGCAUGAGAGUGGCGCACGGGUGCGUAACGCGUGAGCAACCUACCCAUAUCAGGGGGAUAGCCCGGAGAAAUCCGGAUUAACACCGCAUGUUACAGUAUUACCGCAUGGUAUAGCUGUUAAAUAUUUAUAGGAUAUGGAUGGGCUCGCGUGACAUUAGCUAGUUGGUGGGGUAACGGCCCACCAAGGCGACGAUGUCUAGGGGCUCUGAGAGGAGAAUCCCCCACACUGGUACUGAGACACGGACCAGACUCCUACGGGAGGCAGCAGUAAGGAAUAUUGGUCAAUGGGCGGAAGCCUGAACCAGCCAUGCCGCGUGCAGGACGACUGCCCUAUGGGUUGUAAACUGCUUUUGUACGGGAAUAACCCUCUCUACGAGUAGAGAGCUGAACGUACCGUAAGAAUAAGGAUCGGCUAACUCCGUGCCAGCAGCCGCGGUAAUACGGAGGAUCCGAGCGUUAUCCGGAUUUAUUGGGUUUAAAGGGUGCGUAGGCGGCACUUUAAGUCAGGAGUGAAAGACGGCAGCUCAACUGUCGCAGUGCUCUUGAUACUGAAGUGCUUGAAUGCCGUUGAAGAUGGCGGAAUGAGACAAGUAGCGGUGAAAUGCAUAGAUAUGUCUCAGAACUCCGAUUGCGAAGGCAGCUAUCUAAGCGGUGAUUGACGCUGAUGCACGAAAGCGUGGGGAUCGAACAGGAUUAGAUACCCUGGUAGUCCACGCCCUAAACGAUGAUGACUCGAUGUUGGCGAUACACAGUCAGCGUCCAAGCGAAAGCGUUAAGUCAUCCACCUGGGGAGUACGCCCGCAAGGGUGAAACUCAAAGGAAUUGACGGGGGCCCGCACAAGCGGAGGAGCAUGUGGUUUAAUUCGAUGAUACGCGAGGAACCUUACCCGGGCUUGAAAGUUACUGAAGGUGGCAGAGACGCCACCGUCCUUUGGGACAGGAAACUAGGUGCUGCAUGGCUGUCGUCAGCUCGUGCCGUGAGGUGUUGGGUUAAGUCCCGCAACGAGCGCAACCCCUAUGUCCAGUUGCCAGCAUGUCAUGAUGGGGACUCUGGACAGACUGCCUGUGCAAACAGUGAGGAAGGCGGGGACGACGUCAAGUCAUCAUGGCCCUUACGUCCGGGGCUACACACGUGCUACAAUGGAUGGUACAACGGGCAGCUACACAGCAAUGUGGUGCGAAUCCCUAAAAGCCAUUCACAGUUCGGAUCGGGGUCUGCAACUCGACCCCGUGAAGUUGGAUUCGCUAGUAAUCGCGUAUCAGCAAUGACGCGGUGAAUACGUUCCCGGGCCUUGUACACACCGCCCGUCAAGCCAUGAAAGUUGGGGGUGCCUAAAGCAUGUAACCGCAAGGAGCGUGUUAGGGCAAAACCGAUAAUUGGGGCUAAGUCGUAACAAGGUAGCCGUACCGGAAGGUGCGGCUGGAAUACCUCCUUUCU